GGGGAUAUAGCUCAAUUGGAUAGAGCACCUCACUACGGAUGAGGAUGUUGUAGGUUCGAGUCCUACUAUCCCCGCCA
rnacentral:tRNA from 1 species